UACGUAGGGGGCAAGCGUUGUCCGGAUUUACUGGGCGUAAAGAGCGCGUAGGCGGAAGCUUAAGUGUGGCCUGAAAGCCCCCGGCUCAACCGGGGAAGGUGGCUGCAAACUGGGUUUCUUGAGGGCGAUAGGGGAGAGCGGAGUUCCUGGUGUAGCGGUGAAAUGCGUAGAGAUCAGGAGGAACACCGAUGGCGAAGGCAGCUCUCUGGGUCGGCCCUGACGCUGAGGCGCGAAAGCGUGGGGAGCGAACGGG
rnacentral:rRNA from 1 species